rnacentral:rRNA from 1 species
UACGGGGGGGGCAAGCGUUGUUCGGAAUUACUGGGCGUAAAGGGCUCGUAGGCGGCCAACUAAGUCAUACGUGAAAUCCCUCGGCUUAACCGGGGAACUGCGUCUGAUACUGGAUGGCUUGAAUUCGGGAGAGGGAUGCAGAAUUCCAGGUGUAGCGGUGAAAUGCGUAGAUAUCUGGAGGAAUACCGGUGGCGAAGGCGGCAUCCUGGACCGACAUUGACGCUGAGGAGCGAAAGCUAGGGGAGCAAACGGG